CUGUGAAAUUAUGUGUGGCAAACCUGGUUGGCUCAUGAUGUUAUUUAAAUUUUUAUGAAACAUAUUAUAUGUUAGAUGGUAAUCCUGUCUCUAUUAUAAUACUAUUUGUAGAGACUUUUUGGCGGCAUAUAUUCUUCUUCGUGAUUUCUCAUUGCAUGCAGCAUUACAAGCGUGACUAUAAAUAAUGGAAUUUAUAUAUGAAUAAAAUGCAAAAUUAAAAUACAAAAUAUAAAAGUUAUUAUUAUAUUUAUUAUAUUUAUUUGUUAUAUUCAAAAGUAUUUCUUAUGUAUAUAUACUCGAUUUUCAUUAUUUUUGCUAAAGACUGCAAAACAGGAAGAAUGGCUUUGCAAGAUUAUUUUAGCAGGUAAAAAAAAAAGAAAUAUGAAAAGUGGCCAAGCAGCACAUAAAAUUAAAAAAUAAAAAUACAAAUAUAAAAUGCAAUUUUUAAAAUUUUUUUAUGCAAAUAAAGAACAAUGAAGAAUCUAACUACUAUACAUAUCCAAUGAUAUCCAAUGAUAUCCAAUAAUAUAUUGGAUAUCAAUAUAAUCGAAGACAAUAAUAAUUUAAUAUAAAAAUUGUUUUUUCUUAAAAUGAAAAAUAUUUUAGAAACAUUCCAAAGAAAUAUUAAAAAAGAAAAAAAAAAGCACUAAUAAUAAUGAAUUAUGUCUGAAGAAACAAGAAUAACAACAACAAAAUUUUUUUUAAAAGCAUCGCAAUAUUAAUUAAAAAAUUAUUGCCCUACAAAUUAUAGCUAAAAUAGGAAGAAUUCAAAAUGAUAAAUGAAAAAUCAGAAUUAAAUGUUAAUCCAAUAUUUUAAUACUUAAAAUAAUCGACUGUUUGCGUUGCCAUGUGAGAGAUUAUGAGAUCAUUUGAAAAAUAAAAUUAGACUAUUUCCAUACCAUAUCCAAGUUGUAAUUGUCAAGAAAACGAUGAAACUUCUUAUAUUCUCAAAGUUUUUUUUUUAAAUACAUAUAAUAAUAUAGAUGAAAUAUUAUUCAAAAAUAUCUUGUUCAAUGACAUUUUUUAAAAUUCAGAAAGCAAACAAUGGAUAAUUUUCAUUGUGAACUACUAUAAUAAUGUUCUGAAAUAGUGGGACAAUCAUCAUUUUAUGUAUUUUCAAUCGAUUCUUAAGUGAUCAUAUUGAAGAUAAUUAUGAAUAAACGCAAAUAAAAUUGAAUAAAAAAUAAUAUAUAACAAAAAUAAAAACAAAAAUAAUAUAUAACGAAAUUAUUUUUAUUUUCAUACAAACUAACGAAAGAGAAAUUAUAUUUUAAUCUCUUCGCUUUGAAGAGUUAAACGUCAAUUGAAUAUAGUAUGUUAUGAAAUAAAAGAAAAUUACUAAAUUAAAUGUUUAAAAUAAUGAUCUUGAACAUAAUGAUACAUAAUCUCUGAAGAGAUAUCAUGACAUAAAAUUAAAUUUCAUUCGGAUUAAUUACAGAGCAACCUUUUUUUAUAUAUUCUUUCAUUUCUUGUUAGUAAUUCACUCUAUAUUUCCUUUAAUUUUCUUUAAAUAAAAAUUCAAAGAUAUUAAACCUAGCGAACAUAUAAGCCAUUCAUAAUUUUCUAUCCGAUCCAAUAAUUCUCAAAAAUCUUAAGAGUCUCUAUGAAUUUUUCCAAAUGAAAAAUUUCAUCUAAUGAAUAUCUGUUUUAUCAGAAUUAAAUAGAUCGUUGUAUGUGAAAGAAUAUCUUAUAACUAUGACAAAAUUUCUGUUAAAAAUUUAUUCGUAUUUCUGAUUGUUUAAUAUGUUAAUCAAUAAAUUAAUUAUUUUAUUAUCAAAAAAUCUGCAUCACAUAUUUAUAUAUCAUAGUUCUUAUUCGACUUUCUUAGCUAUUUGGAUUUUCUUUAAUUUAUAUUAUGAUGAUUAAUUUAAAUAAUAUUUAUAAAUAUCGUUUCAUUGGUCGAAAACAUAUCAUCAUUUCAUCACGAUUUCAGAAAUCAUAUAGCCAUUGAUAAAACGAAAUUUAUUUAAGUUUUUUUUAAUAAAAUAUUUGUAAAAUAUUUCGUUAAUGCAGAUUUUGAUAAUUACAAUUGUUAAAAUGUUCAUUCAAAUGUUUCUAUAAUUAGUUUCUAUCAUAAUUAUUUUAGAUUUUUAUUAUACUUCUAAUUUCUUCAAAAUUCUUUAUAAUGUUUAUAAUGUUGUAAUUAUGUAAAAUGUUGUAUAUCUCAUAAUUUCGUGACUUUUAUUUAAAUAUCUAUUUUUUUUUUAUUUUUGAAUAACAAUUUUUUUCAUAUUUUUAAGAAUAUUUAAAUACAUUAAUUUAUCCAUAAUCUCUUUAAUAAUAUGUAAAAUUAAAUCAUAAUGGCAGCAUCACCAUGUUUAAAUAU